AUUGCUCCAUUGAGACAUAAAUAUGAGUGCUGUGUCGUAUUUAUGCCAGAAGGAGGCAGGCAGGAAGUGUUAUGCUGCUUUAUAGUCUGUAUCCUAAAAGAAAGGAUACACACAGAGCUUUAUAGCAGCUGAACAAC